UUGAAACUUUUUGUACAUAUGCUAAGGGCAAUCCAAACUUUUCUCAUCCGUUGUUCCCAGUUGGUGGAACGCACUACCAGUUCCUAUUAGAGCAGGGACGUCCCUCUCUAUGUCAAAAAAACGCCUGAAGACCCAGCUCUUCAGAGAG